ensembl:lncRNA
CAGUGUCAAGAAAAGCUAUUCUAUAGGGCCAGCCUGGAUUAAAUAGCAGGCGAAGGACACGGGCAUUAUUAGCAGCAGCUCCAGUGUCAAAGUAUUUCUGUGUGCAUCUCAGGCAGCGAAGCCUUAGGCAGAAGGCAGCCUCCAGAGAAAGUAUGGGAUGAGGUUUCUAUUUUGUCAUUUAAGUAAUUAAUAGAUGGGUCGGUCAUUCUGCAUAGCUAGGCCUCCUGGUUUGCUUUAGAUCUCCUUCUUCGAGCCUUUAAGGUAACAAUUCAGGGAGGAAACCAGGCAGCCUUCCCUGGAAAAGCUAGAGCUCCUUAAAGAGAAGGCAAAGGUAGGCCUGUUGUAACACAUCUGAUCAAUUUGUGGUUUUGUUAUGUGCUUUCAAAAUCUUUAUACAAGUGAAAAAAUGCUGAUGAAUGCUCCUAUUUUCCACUGAGUACUUACUGCCUUACAAACCAACACAAGACGCCAGAAUUCUUGAAAGUUCUAUGAAUUCAAAAGCAGUCAUUGUGCUGAGCAUAGUACAUAAAACACAAGGGGAAUUGGAGGAUAACCG